rnacentral:rRNA from 1 species
CGAUGAACCUACUUCGGGAGGGGAUUAGUGGCGAACGGGUGAGUAACACGUGGGCAAUCUGCCCUGCACUCUGGGACAAGCCCUGGAAACGGGGUCUAAUACCGGAUACUGAUCAUCUUGGGCAUCCUUGGUGAUCGAAAGCUCCGGCGGUGCAGGAUGAGCCCGCGGCCUAUCAGCUUGUUGGUGAGGUAAUGGCUCACCAAGGCGACGACGGGUAGCCGGCCUGAGAGGGCGACCGGCCACACUGGGACUGAGACACGGCCCAGACUCCUACGGGAGGCAGCAGUGGGGAAUAUUGCACAAUGGGCGAAAGCCUGAUGCAGCGACGCCGCGUGAGGGAUGACGGCCUUCGGGUUGUAAACCUCUUUCAGCAGGGAAGAAGCGAAAGUGACGGUACCUGCAGAAGAAGCGCCGGCUAACUACGUGCCAGCAGCCGCGGUAAUACGUAGGGCGCGAGCGUUGUCCGGAAUUAUUGGGCGUAAAGAGCUCGUAGGCGGCUUGUCGCGUCGGUUGUGAAAGCCCGGGGCUUAACCCCGGGUCUGCAGUCGAUACGGGCAGGCUAGAGUUCGGUAGGGGAGAUCGGAAUUCCUGGUGUAGCGGUGAAAUGCGCAGAUAUCAGGAGGAACACCGGUGGCGAAGGCGGAUCUCUGGGCCGAUACUGACGCUGAGGAGCGAAAGCGUGGGGAGCGAACAGGAUUAGAUACCCUGGUAGUCCACGCCGUAAACGGUGGGCACUAGGUGUGGGCGACAUUCCACGUCGUCCGUGCCGCA